CACCUCCAGAUCCCUUAGCCCUUGGACCUAAAUAUUGGUCUGAGUGACUUUAAGAAGGAGGGCAAGUAAAACGGAAAUAGGCUUGGAGUGUUUAGUGACAUGAGAGACCAAAACAAAACAAAA
rnacentral:snoRNA from 1 species